rnacentral:rRNA from 7 species
GUAAUGUCUGGGAAACUGCCUGAUGGAGGGGGAUAACUACUGGAAACGGUGGCUAAUACCGCAUAACGUCGCAAGACCAAAGAGGGGGACCUUCGGGCCUCUUGCCAUCAGAUGUGCCCAGAUGGGAUUAGCUAGUUGGUGAGGUAACGGCUCACCAAGGCGACGAUCCCUAGCUGGUCUGAGAGGAUGACCAGCCACACUGGAACUGAGACACGGUCCAGACUCCUACGGGAGGCAGCAGUGGGGAAUAUUGCACAAUGGGCGCAAGCCUGAUGCAGCCAUGCCGCGUGUAUGAAGAAGGCCUUCGGGUUGUAAAGUACUUUCAGCGGGGAGG